UGGGGAAUAUUGCACAAUGGGCGCAAGCCUGAUGCAGCCAUGCCGCGUGUGUGAAGAAGGCCUUCGGGUUGUAAAGCACUUUCAGCGGGGAGGAAGGCGAUAAGGUUAAUAACCUCAUCGAUUGACGUUACUCGCAGAAGAAGCACCGGCUAACUCCGUGCCAGCAGCCGCGGUAAUACGGAGGGUGCAAGCGUUAAUCGGAAUUACUGGGCGUAAAGCGCACGCAGGCGGUCUGUCAAGUCGGAUGUGAAAUCCCCGGGCUCAACCUGGGAACUGCAUUGGAAACUUGCAGACUAGAGUCUUUUAGAGAGGGGUAGAAUUCCAGGUGUAGCGGUGAAAUGCGUAGAGAUCUAGAGGCAUACCGGUGGCGAAGGCGGCCCCCUUGACAAAGACUGACUCUCAGGUGCGAAAGCGUGGGGAGCAAACAGG
rnacentral:rRNA from 1 species